rnacentral:rRNA from 1 species
ACGAACGCUGGCGGCAUGCCUAACACAUGCAAGUCGAACGAGACCUUCGGGUCUAGUGGCGCACGGGUGCGUAACGCGUGGGAACCUGCCCUUAGGUUCGGAAUAACUCCCCGAAAGGGGUGCUAAUACCGGAUAAUGUCUUCGGACCAAAGAUUUAUCGCCUUUGGAUGGGCCCGCGUUGGAUUAGCUAGUUGGUAGGGUAAAAGCCUACCAAGGCGACGAUCCAUAGCUGGUCUGAGAGGAUGAUCGGCCACACUGGGACUGAGACACGGCCCAGACUCCUACGGGAGGCAGCAGUGGGGAAUAUUGGACAAUGGGCGAAAGCCUGAUCCAGCAAUGCCGCGUGAGUGAUGAAGGCCUUAGGGUUGUAAAGCUCUUUUACCCGGGAUGAUAAUGACAGUACCGGGAGAAUAAGCUCCGGCUAACUCCGUG